rnacentral:rRNA from 1 species
GACGAACGCUGGCGGCGUGCUUAACACAUGCAAGUCGAACGGUAAGGCCCUUUUGGGGUUACACGAUUGGCUAACGGGUGAGUAACACGUGCGUGAUUUGCCCUCCCCUUUCUGAUAAGUCUGUUCAACUGAGUCUAAUACCUGCUAGAACUACGCGCUGCCUGUCUGGUGGGGGUAGGCUUUUGCGGUGGGGGAUGGGCGCGCGGCCUAUCAGCUUGUUGGUGGGGUGGUGGCCUACCAAGGCGGCGACGGGUAGCCGGCCUGAGAGGGUGUCCGGCCACACUGGGACUGAGAUACGGCCCAGACUCCUACGGGAGGCAGCAGUGGGGAAUAUUGCACAAUGGGCGGAAGCCUGAUGCAGCGACGCCGCGUGGGGGAUGACGGCCUUCGGGUUGUAAACCCCUUUCAGCAGAGACGAAGCGUAAGUGACGGUAUGUGCAGAAGAAGCACCGGCUAACUACGUG